rnacentral:rRNA from 1 species
AUGAAGCUCCUAUGUUGGAACAUUAGGGGCUUCGGCCUCUCUGGCCGGCGGCGCCAGCUCAUCAAAUAUUUGCAACAAGAGGAGAUAGACAUUGUGGGUCUUCAGGAGACAAUUCGCCAGGACUUUAGUAUGCAUGAGCUCCGGGGGAUCUCUAGGCACCAGUUUGCCUGGCAGUGGUUGCUUGCUAUGGGUCAAUCUGGGGGCAUUUUGCUCGGAGUCAGGGAGGAUGCUUUCUCGGUUGAGGAUAUGGACCAAUGGGAAUUCUUCCUGAGCAUGUCUGUCACCGACCGACGAGUCCACUUUAGUUGGGAGGUGAUUUUUGUCUAUGGUCCUGCGGAUCAUGGGCGCUCAGCCGCCUUCCUUGCCGAGCUGAAAGAUAAGGUGGAGAGUUGUCCACUCCAAUAG